GUAUUGUAUUGCGUUAAACGCGGCAUACAUUCCAUAAGACUUUGUUACAGUGUGUGUGUAAAUACGCAGGACCACAGCAGGGGGACAGAGCCCCCAGGCUACAGAACUACGGAGGGUGCACAGGUGUGAGUGGAUGUGCAAACAGAGCGUGCACGUGUCCCCAUUCGAGGACCAGCAACAGCUCGUGUUGACAGUUCGGUAAUGAUCCUUCCGCAGGUUCACCUACGGAAA
rnacentral:misc_RNA from 1 species